rnacentral:rRNA from 1 species
GACGAACGCUGGCGGCGUGCUUAACACAUGCAAGUCGAACGGAAAGGCCCUGCUUUUGUGGGGUGCUCGAGUGGCGAACGGGUGAGUAACACGUGAGUAACCUGCCCUUGACUUUGGGAUAACUUCAGGAAACUGGGGCUAAUACCGGAUAGGAGCUCCUGCUGCAUGGUGGGGGUCGGAAAGUUUCGGCGGUUGGGGAUGGACUCGCGGCUUAUCAGCUUGUUGGUGGGGUAGUGGCUUACCAAGGCUUUGACGGGUAGCCGGCCUGAGAGGGUGACCGGCCACAUUGGGACUGAGAUACGGCCCAGACUCCUACGGGAGGCAGCAGUGGGGAAUAUUGCACAAUGGGCGGAAGCCUGAUGCAGCAACGCCGCGUGCGGGAUGACGGCCUUCGGGUUGUAAACCGCCUUCGCCUGUGACGAAGCGUGAGUGACGGUAAUGGGUAAAGAAGCACCGGCUAACUACGUG